rnacentral:rRNA from 1 species
UGGGGAAUAUUGGACAAUGGGGGCAACCCUGAUCCAGCGAUGCCGCGUGUGUGAAGAAGGCCUGCGGGUUGUAAAGCACUUUAGUUGGGGAGGAAAGGUAUGUACUGCAUAAGUGCAUGCUGUGACGUUACCCAAAGAAUAAGCACCGGCAAACUCUGUGCCAGCAGCCGCGGUAAUACAGAGGGUGCAAGCGUUAAUCGGAAUGACUGGGCGUAAAGGGCGCGUAGGUGGACAUAUAAGUAAAUUGUGAAAGACCCGGGCUUAACCUGGGAAGGUCAAUUUAAACGGUAUGUCUGGAGUGGAGUAGAGGGAAGUAGAAUUUCCGGUGUAGCGGUGAAAUGCGUAGAUAUCGGAAGGAAUACCGGUGGCGAAGGCGUCUUCCUGGACUCUAACUGACACUGAGGCGCGAAAGCAUGGGGAUCAAACAGGAUUAGAUACCCCGGUAGUCCCUGAGCGGGCUGGCAAGGCGCAU